GAUGUACUCCCUCCGUCCGAAAAUACUUGUCAUCAAAAUGGAUAAAAAGGGAUGUAUUUAGAACUAAAAUAUAUCUAGAUACAUCUCAUUUUAUCCAUUUUGAUGACAAGUAUUUCCGGACGGAGGGAGUAGUAC
rfam:Triticum urartu cultivar G1812 contig949005, whole genome shotgun sequence.